UUCAUCUUGAUGAAGCCAUUGCCACAUCUGCAGAGCACCACAGCUAUGGCCAUCUUCUUGUAUCUGAAGAUCUGCACAGACUGCAGCCAACAAGUCCUUAGACGGCAUAUCUCCAGGCAUAGAAACAUGAGGUCCCGGGAUAAUGUCUUUACGGGUCUUUCUGGAGAAGCUCAAAGAGCAUCUGUUUCAAAGGGCAACUUCCUUCUUGGAUGAAGCAUCUUGUAGAGAAGACAAUCAAUGGCCAAGGCAGACCUUUCAGUGCGACAAGAUGUGGAGAUGGAAGAUGGUGACCCUGAUGAUCCUGCCCCUGCAUAGGCCUAGGCUAAUGGGUAUGUUUGUUGUAGUUUUUAACAAAAAAGUUUUAAAAACUUUAAAACGAGAAAAAAAGCUUAAAGAAUAAGGAUACGAAGAAAGAAAAUAUUUUUUGUACAGCCAUACAGCCUGUGUUUUAAGCUAACUAUUAUUACAAAAGAGUCAAAAAGUUUUAAAAAUUUAAGUUUAUAAAAUAAAAAUGUUACAAUAAGCUACAGUUUAUGUAUUAAGAAAAAUAUAUAUUAAACUAAUACAUAUUUUUAAAAAAACUUUUAUUAUAAAUAAGUAGAGAUGGGGUCUUGUGAUAUUGCCCAGGCUGGUCUUAAAUGCCUGGCCCCACCUCAGCCUCACAAAGUGCUGAGAUUACAGACAUGAGCCACCACACCUA